GCAAUGUGCACGGGAUCAAUGAC
rnacentral:miRNA from 1 species